GAUGAAGAACGUAGCGAAAUGCGAUAAGUAAUGUGAAUUGCAGAAUUCCGUGAAUCAUCGAAUCUUUGAACGCAUAUUGCGCCCUCUGGUAUUCCGGAGGGCAUGCCUGUCCGAGCGUCAUUAUAACCACUCAAGCUCUCGCUUGGUAUUGGGGUUCGCGGUUUCGCGGCCCCUAAAAUCAGUGGCGGUGCCUGUCGGCUCUACGCGUAGUAAUACUUCUCGCGAUUGAGUUCGAUAGGUCUACUUGCCAGUAACCCCCAAUUUUUACAGGUUGACCUCGGAUCAGGUAGGGAUACCCGCUGAACUUAAGCAUAUCAAUAAGCGGAGGA
rnacentral:misc_RNA from 1 species